rnacentral:lncRNA from 1 species
UCCCUCGAUCGAAACUCAAAUCGAGCUUAGGCUUCUACAUGAGCAUACUAGCACGCCCAAAAACAUUAAUGGAGGCUCAAUGGGACCGAAGCUCGCUUGAACUGGUCAACCGCGAGUCCCGAUCCGACGCCUUACAAAAAUGGAGCAUACAUGAGUAGAGAAGACAAAACGAGAAGAGCUGCGACGGACAGCAACUCACGAACGGACGACCGAUGGCAGCCAAAACCCUCCUUUGACUUCACUCUCUCGGAUAUCUCUCGCUUCAAUCUCCCUCUCAGUUCUCUUGGUGCUUCCGUUCUCCCCCUUGCUCCCCUUUUGAGGGCAUCGGCCAGUGCGCAUGGCUUCUGCCAUCACCAACUCGUUGGUCGGUCUGGCCCCGACCCACGGAACGUGCUGCCUUCUGCCGCUUGCCAUUCGUUUCCUCUCUCUGACCUGUACU